rnacentral:lncRNA from 1 species
GCCAGGGGCGUAGUGCAGGCCACACCUGGUCUUUCUCUUAUACAUAACAUAACAUAACAUACAUAUUCCAUGGUGCCGGGGGCAUAGUGCAGGCCACUUCCGGUCUUUCUCUUACAUAGUGCCAGGGGCGUAGUGCAGGCCACACCUGGACUUCCAUAUCAUAUCAUCAUGUCAUAACAUAUGAGGGCUAAUGGAUCAUUCAACAUUCAUCCACAUCAACAACAUAUUAUGCAAUGCAACAUAUUCGUGAUUUCUAAUGCAAACAACCUAAAAUAUCACAUGGCAUCCGUGAUGCAUGAACAUGCUCAAAAC